GAUGAACGCUGGCGGCGUGCCUAAUACAUGCGAGUCGAGCGAACGGACGAGAAGCUUGCUUCUCUGAUGUUAGCGGCGGACGGGUGAGUAACACGUGGAUAACCUACCUAUAAGACUGGGAUAACUUCGGGAAACCGGAGCUAAUACCGGAUAAUAUUUUGAACCGCAUGGUUCAAAAGUGAAAGACGGUCUUGCUGUCACUUAUAGAUGGAUCCGCGCUGCAUUAGCUAGUUGGUAAGGUAACGGCUUACCAAGGCAACGAUGCAUAGCCGACCUGAGAGGGUGAUCGGCCACACUGGAACUGAGACACGGUCCAGACUCCUACAGGAGGCAGCAGUAGGGAAUCUUCCGCAAUGGGCGAAAGCCUGACGGAGCAACGCCGCGUGAGUGAUGAAGGUCUUCGGAUCGUAAAACUCUGUUAUUAGGGAAGAACAUAUGUGUAAGUAACUGUGCACAUCUUGACGGUACCUAAUCAGAAAGCCACGGCUAACUACGUG
rnacentral:rRNA from 1 species